rnacentral:misc_RNA from 1 species
AAGUCGUAACAAGGUCUCCGUAGGUGAACCUGCGGAGGGAUCAUUACAGAGUUUCUAACUCCUAAAACCAUGUGAACUUACCACUGUUUCCUCGGUGGAAGGCAAGCCUGAAAGGGUCUGCUGGAAGCCGAAGGACAAACUAAACUCUUGUUAAUUUUGUUAAUUCUGAAUCAAACUAAGAAAUAAGUUAAAACUUUCAACAACGGAUCUCUUGGUUCUG